UGCGACACUUUUUUGAGUCUU
rnacentral:piRNA from 1 species